CCUUUCUAUCAUUCAUUGAUAUCUUAAACUGAAUCAACACAUAUUCAAGAUUCUCAUUCGCGUUUCUACGGUUUCUGAAUUUGAAUUAUCGUAAAUAUACUUGAUGGAUAGUCUCACACAAGAUGUAAUUGGAUCGAGAAGUUCUGGUGUCAAUGCUUUUGAUUUCUGAUUUGGUAGUUGCAAGUAAUUGUUAGUUUCUGUUCGUUGUAUAGUUUUUUAUGUAGGUAUUGCGCGGUUGAAAUGGAAAUGUUUCUCGUGCAUAUGAAGUUCUCGUACGUCUUAGAUUGGUUAAUUAUUAUUUAAGUACGGUUAUUUGAUCAUCAAUUUUUUUUUAACAGCAAAAUGCUAGCCAAAUGAUAAAUGUUGUUUACCGAUAAUUAACUCGUUGAUAUUCAGGUGUAAUGGCUAGUGUUAAAAUUUACUUCUAGCAUGAAUUUCAUGGAUGCGACUUACGGUCAGCUGCAUUUGUGUCUCUGUAUGGCGGUUUUGGAGGUCAUGUGGAUGGUGGUUCACCACCUCUUGGGUCCAGUAGGUCUUGGAAGUCCAUGGAAAUGGAAAUCCAGUCUUUGCUGGAGAAACUGUUGGACAUUAAUGAUUCAAUGAGUAGAUGUGCUGCAUCUGCCGGACCGGCUACUUCUGUAACUCAAAAGUUGGCUAGGCACAGAGACAUUCUUCAUGAUUUUACCCAGAAUCUUCUAAUGAGGAUGACCAAGUGGGAAAAUCAGUUGCCAUUAUGGUGGGAGUGCUUGCUGGUUUAGCCAUUAUUGUUGUCCUUCUCUCAAUCUGCAGAAGAGCAUUUGGUUAAAAAAAUGUGGAGAUGAGAAUUCAGAAAGGAAGAAGGGGUGUAAUCAUUUCAAAAUGUGGAUGUAAUCUUCUGGUUCAUAAAGUGGAUCUCUCAUCACCUUCAAGAAAAGGCUGCAAAAUCACUUGAUCUUGUGAUCUCAGAACAAAAUGGGAUCAUUCUCUUUGAUAAAAUAAACUUAUUUAUUGCUUUACUGCUAUAGUGUGCAUUUAUUUCUUAAUUGUUAAUCAAAUGUUCUUCUUAAGAGGGAAAUGUAGAUUUUGUUUGUUUUUUCAAUUAACUUCCCUAUAAAAGAGGGAAAAACUCCUCACAAAUAGGAAAGGUCAAAUUGUUGCACUAUUAUGUGUUAUAAUAGUAUUAUUUAAGUAUUUCAGAUAUUUUUUGUUCGUUGA